UCACCUUUUUAUUUUUAUUCUUUUUAUCAUCCAGUGUGUUUAUCUAAAGGCACACUCUAGUUACCACAAAUGAGGGAAACCAGGCAACCUGUUCUUUGGGUCUGGCUUACUUCACUUAAUAUAGUCUGUCUUUAGGAUGGUAAGAAGGGACACAGAAGUAGGUGGGACAGGGGCUGGGAAUAUGGCCUAGUGGUAGAGUGCUUAACUCGCAUGCAUAAAGCCCUGUGUGUGUGUGUGUGUGUGUGUGUGUGUGUGUGUGUGUGUGUGUGGUUAACCUUGCUUGUCAUCAAAAACAUCCAGACUUAUCUGGGCCAAACAAAAUAAGU